AGUAACCAUGCAUCGAUCUACUCAAUAUUCAACAUUCUGUUGCUGUUGCUCACUUGGCCGUUGCCUUGUGGAUUUACAUUCUGACCCUAUGGGCUAAUUCCACGAGUACUAAAAGCAUCUUCUAUCCUCACCAGCAGUGGAAUGAGAUUCUGAUUUCUUUCUUCCUCUGAACAUCUUUAUUAUUUUUCUUCUAAAAAUAAUUAAAGUCAUUCAGGCACAUACAUGCCAUGAUGUAGAGAUCAGAUGACAAUGUGGGGGAGUGCUCUAUUCUACUCCAUGGGUCCUGAGGAUCAGACUCAGACCAUCAGGAUUACCAGAAAACACCUUUUCCUGCUGAGCAAAAUGAUGGAACACUUAUGUAGCUUUUUCUUUUUCAAGGAAAUGUAUUUUCCCAUCUUGAAAGUCUAUAUUAUUGGAUUUAGCUCCUUUUUGUAAUCUCGAUACAAAACUCUUUUCAUAUAUGCUUUAAGUUUUUUGUACCAUUUUGUGCUUGCUUUUGUUUUUUCUUUCUGUAUGAUCUUUUGUUUUAGAAAGUGUAAAAUUUUAAUGACAAUCACUUUGUAGUUUGCCAUGUGCUUUUUUUGUUAUAUAUGAGAAAACACUGCCAAAGGAAAGCCAAGAUUUACUCCUAUGAUUGCCUCUAAGAGUUUAAUCAUACUAGCAAUUACAUUUUGAGUAAAUGUUUGUUCGUAUUGCAAAGUUCAACUUUAAUUUUCACAUGUAGACAUUUAAUUUUUAAAGCAUCAUUUGUUGAGGAAACAGUUCCUAAGAGAUAGCAUUUACUUAGGCUAUCAAAUUAAUUGAGCAAUGGUCAGAUGUAGUACAGAUGAAGCCGGUACUCUACAAGAGAACUGCCUGCAUUGGUAUGAGUCAUUUAUGACCAUGAAGAAAUCAACUUUAUGUAUGUAGCCUAAAAUAAAGUCUUUCUAAUGGUAGAACUGACUCUGUUCCCCUGCAAUCUACAAGAAAGGAGGUGUUUUAGGCCACAGGUCAGCUUUUGGUGAUUAACAGCAAUGCCUAUUAUAAUAAGAUUAGCUGCAGUUUUUCCAGAGGCUGUGCUCUUAUGCUGCCUUUCCUGGGGCAAUGUGAACAAAUGCCCAUUUGACCCAGAUGAGGCAUCAAUGACAGCCCAAAGAAAUGAUUCCACCCAAGUCUAGCUUGGUGAAUCAGUGUUUAUUUUCAUUAUUUACAAUAUCAUGGGUGACUCAAAGGCAUCCACACCACCAAGAAGCCCACUGUAGCAUGAAGACAAGAGUCUUCUCUCUCCUGACAACUAUUUACUGGUCAGUUGAAUUUGGUGAACUUUUUGUGGAUGUUAUAACUUGCCUGAGCUUCAAGGGCCUCCUGAGUCUUAUUAGCCUUGGCUCUCCAGGAGGGAAUGUUUCAACUUAGAAGAAACACCUUCAUAACAUAUAUUUGUGACAUAAAUUUGUGUUUAUACUUUGGCACCCACUUUACAUAGAUUGUGCUGGAUGGUUUUAUCUAUUUGAUAAAAACCUAGACAUAUCUGGGAAGAGAGAACCUUAAC